rnacentral:rRNA from 1 species
UACGGGGGGAGCAAGCGUUGUUCGGAUUUACUGGGCGUAAAGGGCGCGUAGGCGGUCAGCACAAGUCAGUUGUGAAAUCUCCGGGCUUAACCCGGAAAGGUCAACUGAUACUGUGCGACUAGAGUGCGGGAAGGGGCAACUGGAAUUCUUGGUGUAGCGGUGAAAUGCGUAGAUAUCAAGAGGAACACCUGCGGCGAAGGCGGGUUGCUGGGCCGACACUGACGCUGAAGCGCGAAAGCCAGGGAGCGAACGGG